rnacentral:rRNA from 1 species
GAUGAACGCUGGCGGCGUGCCUAAUACAUGCAAGUCGAGCGAAUGGAUUAAGAGCUUGCUCUUAUGAAGUUAGCGGCGGACGGGUGAGUAACACGUGAGUAACCUGCCCAUAAGACUGGGAUAACUCCGGGAAACCGGGGCUAAUACCGGAUAACAUUUAGAACCGCAUGGUUCGAAAUUGAAAGGCGGCUUCGGCUGUCACUUAUGGAUGGACCCGCGUCGCAUUAGCUAGUUGGUGAGGUAACGGCUCACCAAGGCAACGAUGCGUAGCCGACCUGAGAGGGUGAUCGGCCACACUGGGACUGAGACACGGCCCAGACUCCUACGGGAGGCAGUAGUAGGGAAUCUUCCGCAAUGGACGAAAGUCUGACGGAGCAACGCCGCGUGAGUGAUGAAGGCUUUCGGGUCGUAAAACUCUGUUGUUAGGGAAGAACAAGUGCUAGUUGAAUAAGCUGGUACCUUGACGGUACCUAACCAGAAAGCCACGGCUAACUACGUGCCAGCAGCCGCCGUAA